rnacentral:rRNA from 1 species
UGGGGAAUAUUGCACAAUGGGCGCAAGCCUGAUGCAGCCAUGCCGCGUGUAUGAAGAAGGCCUUCGGGUUGUAAAGUACUUUCAGCGGGGAGGAAGGGAGUAAAGUUAAUACCUUUGCUCAUUGACGUUACCCGCAGAAGAAGCACCGGCUAACUCCGUGCCAGCAGCCGCGGUAAUACGGAGGGUGCACGCGUUAAUCGGAAUUACUGGGCGUAAAGCGCACGCAGGCGGUUUGUUAAGUCAGAUGUGAAAUCCCCGGGCUCAACCUGGGAACUGCAUCCGAUACUGGCAGGCUUGAGUCACGUAGAGGGGGGUAGAAUGCCAGGUGUAGCGGUGAAAUACGUAGAGAUCUGGAGGAAUACCGGUGGAGAAGGCGGCCAGCUAGACGAAGACUGACGCUCAGGUGCGAAAGCGUGGGGAGCAAGCAGG